AGAUCUGGGCCUGUGCCUUCCUCAUCAGCAUGCCUAUUAAUGUCAAGACUGAGGACAUGAGAAGGAUGAGGUGAUCAGCGCACAGCAGUGAAAAAGACGCCAGUACAAGGAUCAAGACCAAAAGUGAUCAGACUUCAGACAGAGAAGGAGUAGGAAAAUUGCUGAGGUCUCCACGCAGGUGUCUAAUAACAGUCCCACCAAGGUGGAAGUCAAACUGUCUCACAACUCAGCCUCUUCUCCCUAGUGCCUGUGGAGGCAGCUUCCAGCACGACACAUCCCAUCUUUGCCUCUCCAGAGUAUGGGACUGCUUGCAUCGUUCUCUGAAGGGUCUAGUGCUGGUACUUCUAGACACUAGGCUGUUUCCUUUCAGGAAGUUUCUUCUACAUGUUCUGCAGACUGCUGGUACUGAUGACGAUAAUGAAGAGGCCACUCAUUAGGAGAGAGGCUUUUUAGUGAUCAGUCUUUCCACUUACUUCGGGAAUACUGUUGAAAAAGCUUUCAGCAUUACUGAACAACAACCAGAAUUCCCAGCAACACUGCGUUGGACAGCCCUGCUUGUUGGAAGAAGGUGAAGAAGGAGCUUCCUACUUGGGUACCCUGGGAGGGAAGUGACCGUUGUGGGUGGAGGCGUGCAGAAAACACACCCGAAGUCCCACUGCUUUCCUGUGCAGGGAAAUCCUUCAGCUUGACUGGAGUCAGAGGAAACCUGGUUUCUGUCCCCACACAAGGUCACACUGCAGUCUCGGGGAUCAAUUUUCCUGGAUAAACCAGAGGUUUCCUCCCAGUGGACACUCCUAUGCUCUCUUUCUCUAGCAAGCAGCUUUGAUUCAGGAAACUUUUUCCGCUGAUUGGGUAUCAGCUGAUUGUUACUGGAGUGCUGGGAUACUGGAGAGUUGGAUGAUGAAAUGCCUCACCUGUGGCUGCCCAAUCUCAUGCUGCUUCCUCUCUUCAAUAAUGCUCCCACACAGACAUCCAUUUACUUAUCUAACCAUGGGCUAACUUUUUGUCUGGUUUUUUUUGAGCUGUUGUGGGAUUUGUUUCCAGUAGGCGUAUUACUUGAUUAAUGACCUUUCUGUUAACACUUGCUCAUAUUCCAUAUGGGAUCUUCUUGGGCUAUCUAAAUGCACAAAAUACUUAAACUAAUUUUUUUUCUCAGCUCAUCUCUGUUUUUAAUAACACAAUUUUUUUCUCCUGCCUCCAAAGAAAAAAGAGCAUUUUUUAGCUUGCUCAAGCUCACGUUGAAUGUUUCUUGUGAUUCAUGUUGUCACUUUAUGCAGUAUUCCAAGAAAACAGAGCAUGGACAGGCUCUGUCAGGAAGGGUUUUGUAAUCUAUUUGUCAUUUCUUUUCUGUAUAGAUUAAGGGCUAAAUUUUGUGAUGGCAGAUGAAUUUGUAGACCCCAUCUUGAAAUCACGCCAGCUAUUCAAAAGAGAGAAGCUGCUUUUCUUUCAACCCAUGAUAGUAGCGCUUUCCUGGAUGCAAGUUGAAAAAUAUUUACAUCAUUAUAAAUAAGCAGUGUGUAACUAUAAAUAAAGAACACGGGUAAUAAAGUGUUAUCAUUGAAGUUGAAAUUAAAAUUGGAUCCUACCAAGCCCUAAACAUAGAUCAUGACAGAAAAAUCCAAUAAGGUUUUUUUGUUUGUUUGUUUGUAGGUGCUGUAAUUAUAGACUAGAUAAAGGAAAGAAAAGAUUAUACAGCAGACAUAAUUUGUAAUGAUUACAGUAACAUUUCUGAUGCAAUGCCAUGAAAAGAAUGACUACUUGUGCAUGGCAUCCACACGUGCAUCUACAUCCCUCCUCAGGGAGGUGCCCUCUGCAGCACUUACCUCAUAACCUGAGACAUGUCACAGCCUGUAUGACCAUGGGCUAUGUGACCACAGCCUGUAUGACUGCGGGCCUGUUUCCAAAGAAUAUGCUCUGGUGUGCACUGGGUGACUCCUGCUAGGGUUGUCCCUGAACCUGACCCCAUGCAGCUAGAUCCCCCCACCCAGGGGAGCCCCUGUUGUAUGGUAAAUUAAGAAGCCCUGGAGUAGAGGGAUGCGUUGACUGUCUCUAAAUGCAAGACGUUCAUCUUGAAUUAAGUUACUUCUUUAUCAUCAGGGUUUGAUCCGAGCACUGUGCCCUUCACUGGCAGAGCAGGAAAAGAUUUGCCUCCAUUGGGAACAUGGACCAUUGUGAAAAAGUGCAGUUGGGUGCAGAAAAGCCCUGAGAGAUGUUCAUGCAAAAACAGAAAGCAUUUCGUUUUAGUUACCAAGAGUGAAGUCUCUUGUUGCCUUUCUGGAAACCAAGGCUUGAGGCCAAAAGCAAUUUCUUGUACUUCAAUAACUGAAAAUAAAGCCUUAAAAAAGAACAUGUCAGGGAAUUAAAUGAGAACCACAAGUUUAGCAGGGCUAGUGAUUGCCCUGGAGAAUAUUGAGGUGAAAUGUAUAGAAAAGAGGGGGUUAGAGACACAGUUAAGUGAAUUACUAGUCCCAUCUGUAACACCUGUCAUAGUCCUGACUGCUGGGUAUUUACUUUCAAAGAAAUCAGCUUGCACUACUGUUUGAUGAAGAGCCCUAAAUCAGGUGUAGAGGCGCAAUUACUGAAAAUGAAUCUGUCAGAGCAAAGCUCAGGUAAUCAAGGAGUCCUGUUUGGGCUCCCCUCCUGUACCCAUCCUUGCCUUAGGGAUAACCGAAACCAAUGUUCCUCAAACCUAUUGGGAAUGAGCAACACAGAUACAAGGUAGACUUACUAAGAAGGUUAAAGAAACUUUAACAUGUUUGCCACAGGCUGAUAAUGGCAUCUGGGAGUCAGCCAUCCACAGGGGCAUGUCAAAUGGUGUUUGUAUCUCCUUGAAAAGAAUCAGGAUUAUUUUAGUGCCAAACAGAAGACAUAAUCUGAUGCAAUUUUCAGAAGCACCAUCAGCCCCUGAUAGACAACAUAUGCCCACAGCUUCUCACACCUUCCUGCAGUAGCGGGUAUGUUCUGAUAGGGUUUCAGCGUGCAGUGCAUGACAGAUGAUUUGAAAACUGAGUAUUCCUGAGGAAUGGGCAUGAGACUCUCGUUUGAUUCUCUGAACUCAGUCCAUUGACUAGUGUCUCUGAGCAAAGACGUUUUUUUCAUUAACUAGAUCUCUGUUUAGUUGUACCUUUCUUAUUAUAGAUGAGAUUCCCCCCAGCUUGUCUUUUGUCUUUAAGCUAUGCAAGUUUCUGUAGAAAAUUAUGCAUGAAUAUAUAAAAGGCUGUGGACAAUAUCAAGAAAUGAGUAUGCUAACAUUUCUGUUUCUUGGACACAUUUUGGUUGGGUUUAGUUUUUUGUU